GUACAAGGGAAAAAACACCACCCACCCGCUCCCCACAGCCCACUCCCCUUCCCUAACCUCUCCCGAUCUCACCACCGCCUCCCUGCCCGCGCUGCCAUUGGCCCGCACCAGAUCGCCUCGGCACAGCCGCCGCCCUCACUAGAUCGCCCCGCCACAGCCGCCGCCCUCACCAGAUCGCCCCGCCACCGCGGUCUCCCUCCUCGGUCGUGCCACCACCAUAGUUUCCCUCCCCAAAUCAUGCCACAGCUGCCACCUCCGGCCUCCUCUGCACAACACCCCUGCUCCUUGACCUUCGUGCGCGGCAUUGCGCCGUAACCGCCGCCGCCAUCCAACCCCAAACGCCAUUAACCUGGGCGCCCCCCUCCCGCUUGCUCCGACGCGGAUCCGGUCAACCCCGCAACUCUCCCCUCCGCACACAAAGCCGUUCAACCCCACUGCCUCGGGCCGUUCAACGAUGCGGCACCAGGACGUUCAACCCCACUUCCAGGAUGCUCCGACGAGGCCGAGAUCUUUCCUCUGUUCACCCAACUCUCUCUCAGGGAGGAUUUGAACUUCUUUGAAUUUGAAAGAAAAUUGCUUGCAAUUUUUUUUUCUGUAUAUUUGGUUUCUGAAAAAUGCACUUGGAUGUGAUGGAUGAAAUUAGUUUGAGCAUAGUUGAACUACAGUUUGUUUACAAAAAGUUGUGAAAAUUGCAGGUUUGUUCGAAGCUGACGGCGCUCCAUAUGUGCAGCAGCACCGCUGCCGCUACAGCUAAUCAGCCACUGCUUGUCAGUACAGUUGCUGGCCCAUGCAUUACACACUUAAAAAGUGAUUCGUGGUGCCACCAAGAACCAUACAUCUGCAUGUUCUUAGCACUUCUUUCUCUCUCUCUAAUUAGUUCUCAGUGGAGGUAGUGCAUCAUCUGCCUUGUGUCAACUUGUUCAAACAGGUAUUAAUCUUGUGUACUAACCGAUUUAAUGGCCAAGUUUUUGUCUGGAUGUGAUGCUACUAAUCUAAUAUUUGAAAAGCUUUCCCAUAAGAUGAAUGUGUGGGUGGGGAUCCUCUGGCCGCACGACAACCACCAAACCCGCGUCGCAAGCCGCUGGGAUCCUGCCUCCAUGCAACCUUACUCCACAUGUUAUCGUGACCUUCCUCUACUUGCCGCCGUGACCAGCAGCGGCCAUGACCCUCCAAGCGCCGGCGCAGCUACACUCCACCGCUGUCGGUGGGCCGCCAACCACCACCACCUCAUACAACCCGAUAGCUCCCUCCACAAACUAGCGCCGCCUGCCCCCACUACAUCUGCCACCUCCUGUAGUCUCUGCACAGCGGCGGCACCUUCCCAUGUUGUAUACCCGCAUCCUCUACCUUCGUCUACAAGCGUCUCAAUCCCCAGCAACACCCCUGUCUGUGCAGAAUGCUUUUGUUCUUCAGUUUGGGAAGAUUUGAACUUCUGAAGAAACUUUAUUGAGAAACGACACCCACCAUCUUGGCAUUAAUCAAAUCCAGGUGAAAAAAUGAAGUAUUGCAUCAACAGAAAAGCAGACUACAAAAAAGAUAUUAUUUUGAAUGUGAACCUGCGUGCAUUAUAUAGAAAUUAUGGAUGUUACUUCUGUGGUACUCAUCUUACCAUACACGUACAAACACAUGUUACUCUUAUAGUACUCAUCUUCCCAUACAGGUACAGAAUAGAUGCAGAGAAAAUAGUAUGUGAAUACUGGUACAAACUCCAUUUUGCAUUAUUCUUGCCGUAGAUGACGGAUUGUUUGCUUUCAGGACUUGAAUCUUGGUUUUAUUGAGAAGGUGGCUUGUCGGAUGUUGUCGCCAUGGAUGACGACGGUGAUCUCGUUCUCAAUCGGAGAAUGAAGAGACACUGGAGAAGGGACGAGGAUCAUGUCCUCACCGUGCAGCAUGGCGUCACCUCUUCGCUCCGGAGCGUCGGUCUUCUUGCGGGAGAGCAUUCAGUGUCGGAUUUCCUACUAUGUAUCGUCCUUCUUUCAUUUGUGGUCCAUUGUUUUCUAUUGUUGGUUUACAGGUUUGGAAGGCAGCCAUGCUGCUAACCUGACUUUGUGUUGCACAAGAGCUUCACGUCGUCUGAAUGCGACGGUGUUACUGCCAUGGAGAUCGGUGUUGGGAUAGGUGAUGGCUUGCUAUGAAAUUUAGUGAAUGAGAAAAUUGACUUAUUGCUGUGCUUGUACAACUGUGUAAUUUUUCUGAUUUUUUAUUUGUUUUUGUGAAGGUCAAAAUGUUGUGUCCGAGAAGUUCAAGUAUGUUAGUUUAUAUUGUAUUAUUGAGAAGCUCCAACUUGUUGUAGGAGUGCAUUGAGAAACAGAGUGAAAAUAUCUAUAAAAAUGUAAGUUCGGGAGGAUUAAAAAGGAAAAGGAAGAAAGAAAAAGCUCACACUUUUGUCGUUGA